rnacentral:rRNA from 1 species
GUCGAGCGGUAGCACAGGGAGCUUGCUCCUGGGUGACGAGCGGCGGANGGGUGAGUAAUGUCUGGGAAACUGCCUGAUGGAGGGGGAUAACUACUGGAAACGGUAGCUAAUACCGCAUAACGUCUACGGACCAAAGUGGGGGACCUUCGGGCCUCAUGCCAUCAGAUGUGCCCAGAUGGGAUUAGCUAGUAGGUGGGGUAAUGGCUCACCUAGGCGACGAUCCCUAGCUGGUCUGAGAGGAUGACCAGCCACACUGGAACUGAGACACGGUCCAGACUCCUACGGGAGGCAGCAGUGGGGAAUAUUGCACAAUGGGCGCAAGCCUGAUGCAGCCAUGCCGCGUGUGUGAAGAAGGCCUUCGGGUUGUAAAGCACUUUCAGCGAGGAGGAAGGGNNNNNUGUUAAUAGCANNNUGCAUUGACGUUACUCGCAGAAGAAGCACCGGCUAACUCCGUGCCAGCAGCCGCGGUAAUACGGAGGGUGCAAGCGUUAAUCGGAAUUACUGGGCGUAAAGCGCACGCAGGCGGUUUGUUAAGUCAGAUGUGAAAUCCCCGCGCUUAACGUGGGAACUGCAUUUGAAACUGGCAAGCUAGAGUCUUGUAGAGGGGGGUAGAAUUCCAGGUGUAGCGGUGAAAUGCGUAGAGAUCUGGAGGA